rnacentral:rRNA from 1 species
AGAGUUUGAUCCUGGCUCAGGAUGAACGCUAGCGGCAGGCCUAACACAUGCAAGUCGAGGGGUAACAGGAGAGCUUGCUCUCGCUGACGACCGGCGCACGGGUGAGUAACGCGUAUGCAACCUACCUUUAACAGGGGGAUAGCCCGAAGAAAUUCGGAUUAAUACCCCAUAAUACUAUGAAUAAGCAUUUAUUUAUAUUAAAAACUCCGGUGGUUAAAGAUGGGCAUGCGUAACAUUAGUUAGUUGGUGAGGUAACGGCUCACCAAGACUACGAUGUUUAGGGGGCCUGAGAGGGUGGUCCCCCACACUGGUACUGAGACACGGACCAGGCUCCUACGGGAGGCAGCAGUGAGGAAUAUUGCGCAAUGGAGGCAACUCUGACGCAGCCAUGCCGCGUGCAGGAUGACGGCCCUACGGGUUGUAAACUGCUUUUAUACAGGAAGAACUUUCCGCACGUGUGCGGGAUUGACGGUACUGUACGAAUAAGCACCGGCUAACUCCGUGCCAGCAGCCGCGGUAAUACGGAGGGUGCAAGCGUUAUCCGGAUUUAUUGGGUUUAAAGGGUGCGUAGGCGGGAUAAUAAGUCAGUGGUGAAAUACUGCAGCUCAACUGUAGAACUGCCAUUGAUACUGUUAUUCUUGAGUUCGAUUGAGGUAGGCGGAAUGUGUAAUGUAGCGGUGAAAUGCUUAGAUAUUACACAGAACACCGAUUGCGUAGGCAGCUUACUAAGUCGACACUGACGCUGAGGCACGAAAGCGUGGGGAGCGAACAGGAUUAGAUACCCUGGUAGUCCACGCUGUAAACUAUGAUCACUAGCUGUUGACGAUACAUCGAUCAGCGGCAAAGCGAAAGCAUUAAGUGAUCCACCUGGGGAGUACGGUCGCAAGAUUGAAACUCAAAGGAAUUGACGGGGGCCCGCACAAGCGGUGGAACAUGUGGUUAAUUCGAUGAUACGCGAGGAACCUUACCUGGGCUUAAAUGCAGAUUGACGUUUCGGGAAACCGGAAUUCUCUUCGGAGCGAUUUGCAAGGUGCUGCAUGGUUGUCGUCAGCUCGUGCCGUGAGGUGUCGGGUUAAGUCCCAUAACGAGCGCAACCCCUAUUGUUAGUUGCCAGCGGAUAAUGCCGGGGACUCUAACGAAACUGCCGGUGUAAACCGAGAGGAAGGUGGGGAUGACGUCAAAUCAGCACGGCCCUUAUGUCCAGGGCUACACACGUGUUACAAUGGUCGGUACAGAGGGCAGCUACCUGGUGACAGGAUGCUAAUCUCGAAAGCCGGUCUUAGUUCGGAUCGAAGUCUGCAACUCGACUGCAUGAAGUCGGAAUCGCUAGUAAUCGCGAAUCAGCAUGUCGCGGUGAAUACGUUCCCGGGCCUUGUACACACCACCCGUCAAGCCAUGGAAGCUGGGGGUACCUGAAGUCUGUAACCGC